AGUGAACGCUGGCGGUAGGCCUAACACAUGCAAGUCGAACGGCAGCACAGUAAGAGCUUGCUCUUACGGGUGGCGAGUGGCGGACGGGUGAGGAAUACAUCGGAAUCUACUUUUUCGUGGGGGAUAACGUAGGGAAACUUACGCUAAUACCGCAUACGACCUACGGGUGAAAGCAGGGGAUCUUCGGACCUUGCGCGAUUGAAUGAGCCGAUGUCGGAUUAGCUAGUUGGCGGGGUAAAGGCCCACCAAGGCGACGAUCCGUAGCUGGUCUGAGAGGAUGAUCAGCCACACUGGAGCUGAGACACGGUCCAGACUCCUACGGGAGGCAGCAGUGGGGAAUAUUGGACAAUGGGGGCAAGACUGAUCCAGCCGUACCGCGUGGGUGAAGAAGGCCUUCGGGUUGUAAAGCCCUUUUGUUGGGAAAGAAAAGCAGCAGGUUAAUACCCCGCUGUUCUGACGGUACCCGAAGAAGAAGCACCGGCUAACUUCGUG
rnacentral:rRNA from 1 species